GACGAACGCUGGCGGCGUGCUUAACACAUGCAAGUCGAACGGAAAGGCCCUGCUUUUUUGGGGUGCUCGAGUGGCGAACGGGUGAGUAACACGUGAGUAACCUGCCCUUGACUUUGGGAUAACUUCAGGAAACUGGGGCUAAUACCGGAUAGGAGCUCCUGCUGCAUGGUGGGGGUUGGAAAGUUUCGGCGGUUGGGGAUGGACUCGCGGCUUAUCAGCUUGUUGGUUGGGUAGUGGCUUACCAAGGCUUUGACGGGUAGCCGGCCUGAGAGGGUGACCGGCCACAUUGGGACUGAGAUACGGCCCAGACUCCUACGGGAGGCAGCGGUGGGGAAUAUUGCACAAUGGGCGGAAGCCUGAUGCAGCAACGCCGCGUGCGGGAUGACGGCCUGCGGGUUGUAAACCGCUGUCGCCUGUGACGAAGCGUGAGUGACGGUAAUGGGUAAAGAAGCACCGGCUAACUACGUG
rnacentral:rRNA from 1 species